GAAGAAUUGUCAGGGUGAGGCAGGGAGACAGGGCACCAAGCAAUACUUUGGGCUUCUGCUCUCUGGUGUCUAGGGGAGGGCCUAUCACAUCAUGGGCCCUGUAUCAUCCUAAGUGCUUUAUCAAGGCUGUCGGAGAGUCUGCGACAGGAACAGGGCAACUGAGAGAAGUGGGAAGGGCAUCUGUUGGUUACCAAUUGGCAGAGAAGGGGAGAAGACUGGUCAUUCUGUGACAUGCGGAGGACAGCCAGGUGGCCGGCUACAGCAGCAAUGGCAACAGAUGAAGAGGAGGGUGAGAACCACCACCAGGGGCAACCCCAGGAGCACAGCCAGGCAGACGGUGUUGAAGACGCCUCUUUCGUGUCUGGCCCGGAUGGUUUCCCAGACAGAGUUGAAGAAAGAACUGUUUCUCUCCAUGGUGCUGGCCUAGUGUGGGGCCAGAGGAUCCUCAGUUAUCCAACAAGCCUUCGGUGUCACAGAACACAGCGUUAGACACUUGGAAUUUAUUUUUCUUUCAGCUUCACAUUUGGGCAUGCCACCAGGAGCACCUGAAGAAAGCAAAAUGGACAAUUCAAGAGAAAUGCAAUAGCAAUGGUCUGUCUAUUUUCA
rnacentral:lncRNA from 1 species